rnacentral:ncRNA from 2 species
CACCCAUCCAGAGCGGCCGAGAGAUCUGGCUCGACGACGCCGCAGCAACCAGCCCGCCGACCCCGGACUCACGGGAACGGCAGGCCCGGUGCUACCGCCAGGAACGAUGGAGG